rnacentral:rRNA from 1 species
CCCUUAGAUGUUCUGGGCCGCACGCGCGCUACACUGUUCGACGCAGCGAGUCUUAACCUUGACCGAAAGGUUUGGGUAAUCUUCAGCAAAGUCGAACGUGAUGGGGAUCGAUCAUUGCAAUUAUUUAUCGUGAACGAGGAAUUCCUAGUAAGUGCAAGUCAUCAGCUUGCGCUGAUUACGUCCCUGCCCUUUGUACACACCGCCCGUCGCUACUACCGAUUGAAUGGUUUAGUGAGAUCUCUGGAUUGACGCUGGCUAGGGGGCGACCCUUGGCCAGACUGUUGAGAAACUGCUCAAACUUGAUCAUUUAGAGGAAGUAAAAGUCGUAACA